UUUUGUGGAAAACGGUGUAGACACAAAUUUUCUUAGAAAAAAUGUGUUAUAAAAAUAUUUAAAUAUAUCGCAUUAAUAGAGAUAGAGUUAUAUAAUUAGAGUUAAUAUAAUAAUUAUUACUUUAGCUGAUACAAUUAUCUACACAUUAAAAAUGAUUCAAAACUUCCCUACGGCAAUAACCAACUAUUAUUGUAAUAUUCAAUAACAAAGUGACGGAUUCCUUUGAAAAAAAUCAUUUACUUGUGAUUUUUUUAAAUACAGCUCAAAGCAUAAAAUAAUUAAUUUAAAACGAAAAAUGGCGUGCAAAACGGGAAUCAAUUAUAUAUUAAUAUGUUUUUUUGUGUUAUACCCUAACGGUGCUAAUUUUGCUCCAGGAGAAAAAAUCAAUUACAACCUUGCAAAUUCCUGGGCUGACAAAUUAGGCAUGGAAUUGUUCCAUUUGGGUGACUUUAUCACGAGAAGAAAAGAAGUUCAAGAGAGUUUUAAAGAAGCACAAGUAGUAUCUCGAUCAGGAGCCAAAAUCGUGGAAAAUAUGGCACACGAUAUAAAAAUGAUGAUGGAAUUAAAAAUAAGUGCAGUGCGGCGAAUAAUGGAUACAGCGGAAAACACUGCGUUGUCGCACCAGAACGAAAAGGAGGAUCUAUAUUUUUCCUAUUAUAAUGCUAAAGAUAUGAGAGAACCUGACGAUCCAAUACCAACGCCUGCACCUCGUGAGCUGGACGAUAUGGGCGAGCCACACAUUUUUGUACCACCCAAAGAGAUAGUUCUAACACCGAAAGCUGAAUUUUUCAAUAUGCCAGUUAAUCUCAGCGUCAGCUCAGUGCAUGUGCCCUUAAACGUUUUCGAUCGAGCCAAGGAAGUCAUCAAGUCCAUUCAAUGGUCGGAGAAUUUAGAUCAAAUAUUUCGUGAUAAUUACAAAAACGACCCAACAUUGUCGUGGCAAUUUUAUGGCAGCUCGACUGGUUUCAUGCGCCAAUUCCCGGCAGCCAAGUGGAAAGCUAAACCAGUCGAUUUGUAUGAUUGCCGACUGCGUUCAUGGUAUAUGGAAGCAGCGACAAGCCCCAAGGAUAUCAUCAUUCUAUUGGACAGCUCGGGCUCUAUGAAAGGACAGAGGCUAGAUAUCGCAAAGAAGGUUGUGAAUACAAUACUUGAUACGUUGGGUACCAAUGACUUUGUGAACAUCUUCACCUUUGGGAAAACAGUAGAGCCAGCCGUCAAAUGUUUUGAGGAAACACUAGUUCAAGCGAAUCUUGGCAAUAUUCGGGAGCUCAUGGAAGGUGUUGACUCUAUAACAAUUGGCAACAUUGCCAAUUUCACCGCUGCAUUGACGAAAGCUUUUGAAGUUUUGGAAGUAUUUCGUACGGAACAACGCGGCGCGCAAUGCAAUCAAGCCAUUAUGAUUGUCAGUGAUGGCGCACCUUUUGCCUAUGAAGAAGUUUUCGAGCAAUAUAAUUGGCGCGACCUACCAUUUAAGCCGGUACGCGUUUUCACUUAUCUAAUUGGCAAGGAAGUGGCAGAUGUCAAGGACAUUAAGUGGAUGGCUUGUGAAAAUCAAGGUUAUUACGUACACCUAAGUGAUAUGGCCGAAGUCCGCGAGAUGGUUCUUAAUUACAUACCAGUGAUGGCUCGGCCUCUGGUACUAGGUAAACAUGAUCAUCCUGUUGUGUGGACACAAGUAUAUGCCGAUGUUAUUGAUCCGAAAAUAUCAGAUUGGAUGUGGGAGGUAAAGCAAUGCGACGAUCAACGCGAAGAUGUUUUAGAGUUUCGUCGCGAAGGUUACCGUAUGCUGGAGCCAAAUGAAGUACACAAACGCAUCUAUCAGCGCAACAAAGCGGCCUGGAAUCAGCCACUCGAAUCGGAUGUGUAUCAAUUUAUGACCACCGUUUCCAUGCCAGUUUAUGAUCGGCGUAUGAAUGCUAAUAUCACCGAAGAGGUUUUAAUAAAUGAGGCGCUGUGGGAAUUGCAAACUCGUGAGACGAAAAUCGCCAAUCUAUUGGGUGUCGCAGGCACGGAUGUACCCAUAAGAGACAUAAAGAGAAUGCUCUCCCCGUUUUUGCUCGGUGUCAAUGGCUAUGCAUUUAUUGUGACAAAUAAUGGCUACAUCCUAUUCCAUCCUGAUUUUCGUCCAAUUUUUCAAGGCAAUAUUUUAAAACCAGCCUAUAACAGCGUUGAUAUGAUUGAAGUUGAGCUAUUGGACGAUGAUCGAGCACCGAGAGAUUUUAAUCCCGUACUACUAACGAUUCGUGAUUCGAUAAUAAAUCAAUCAACUGGUAGUAAGUGGAUGUUGGUAAAAAAUCACUUUGACGAAAUGAAACGGGUUGCUCGCAUCAAACGUCAAUAUUAUUGGAGAGCGAUACCUAAUACACCGUUUACUCUUGUAAUUACGUAUCCUGAGCAAUAUGGUGUACAUCGCCUCUCCAUAAGAGCAGAAAAUGAAAUACACCGCAUGAAUAUUAAAGGUGAAAACUUGUUAAACUACUUUGGUGGCAAACGCUGGAAAAUUCAUCCAACAUGGUUGUAUUGCAAGCACAACAACAAAACUUUUACAACACCAGAAGAAGAGCUGGUUUGGUUUUUGAAUAAAAUGUCACAGCCUGGUUGGAGGUGGCCACUAAGUAGAAGUGCGGUGCCGCCAGAACACACAGCCCUUUUAUUUUCUAACACAUCCUCCGGGCGCAUACCAUCCAUAAAUGAUAAAGAAAGUUACUAUUGCGAUCGUCAACUCAUGCAAUCACUUGUUUUUGAUGCACGGGUUACCGAAUGGUUUUCGAAAAAUACAAGCUUCAAUUCCAAAGAUGACAAAGGCGCAAGCGCUUCAAGCCCAAUAGCCGUUUUAAUGGGUUUGUUGCCAAGAAAUGAAUUUAAACAACGAUUCGGCAUAACAGUGGCAUUUCUGGCAACGCACAGCGGUUUAACACGAUGGCAAGAGUUUCAUUCCAACAUGGCCGAAGAAGCUGGUACUGGCGAAACAUUUAGCGAACAAAAUAAACAUGCUAUUGACGAGAUGUGGUACAAACGCGCAGUAGACCAGCAUUUUGUGCACAAGGAUAGUUUUGUGUACUCGGUGCCAUUCGAUGCAGGAGAUCUUGGAGAGGAAAUUACAGUGACGGCAAGCAACGCAGUCUUCCACACUGAAGGUGCCAAAUUCGCACCUGCCGCCGUUGUAGGAUUUCAGUUUCAUCAUUCUGCACUGGAGAAGCUUUUCCGAAAUAUUACGGGCAAUGGAUGUGCUGUUGAGGAUCGGGAAUGCUACGUUAUUGACAACAAUGGUUUUAUUAUUAUCUCUCCAUAUCGUCAAGAGACGGGCAAGUUUUUUGGAGAAAUUAACGGUGGUAUUAUGGCGCGUUUAGUGGACGAGAAAGUCUUCAAACGUGUCACUGUGUAUGAUUAUCAAGCUGUUUGUUUCGAAUCCAGCGGUGAUAUGAACGGAUCAAAUAACUUACUAUCCCCCCUCUUUCACCUUCUUCGUGCGCUCAAAUGGCUGUUCCAUACGGUGUUGUGGUAUAUUGUGCAACUUACCAAUAUGGCCAUUGCCGAGUUUAUCGACCCAUAUAUAGAUGAAGACAUGAAUGACUACUCAAACAAUGUGAAGAGCAACGACUGGAUCCGUUUGGUGACAUUGCAUCGCACACGGCUCAAAUCGUGCGACAUGCAACGCCACUUAUAUCUUAUGUACAAUGAUAAGGAUAAUGUAGUUUACAAUAUGACAGCUCAUGCGUGUGAACGGCCAUUUGUGGUGCUGCCGAUACCUAAUAGUAAUAUGAUAUUGUUGGUAAUCGAUCAGCGAUGCCCACGAGAUACGUCCAUACAGUUGACGGUUAAUCCAGCCCCCAUUCCAUACCCGCUCGAUAAGAAUCAAACAUUCGCCUGCUAUAAGAACGAUCGUGAGUUUUCAAGGGUCCGUCCCGUCAGUUGCAUAAAUAGGCAUAUAAAUGAAAGUACAAUAGAAUUGUGCGGUAAUGCAGGAAGCAUACAACUUAACGUAAUCCUAAUGAUACUUGGUAUAUUGUUGAGCCGAUAACUGAAACAAUAAUGUUUUCCGAUUUGCAAUUCAAGUCGGUGAAGGGUUAAAUAAAACUUAAUCUUGUAUUUGGCUCUCCUCAUGGUUAAAUAUACUAUACAAGGAAACGCUGGCAGAUAUUUGAAAUUCAUCAAAGGUGAAAUGCAAAUCGAGCACUCAGCUGAAUCUCGUGCAUAUGUAUAAUAUUUCCCCAAAACAAUUAGCCAACAAUUGUGAAUACAAGCAAACGUGUUUGUAGGUUUGUAAAAAUAUGUAUUAUAAUUAUUGUAUAGUCUAAAAUUAGAUCACAUUAAAACUUGGUAAAUGUGGCUUGUGGAGCUGUUUUGUUAUAAUUGAUUUAUACAUGUUACUUAAUUUAUUUUGAAAACUAUUAAACUCAUACAAGAACCCAUAUGUACAUACAAUUGAGCGAACCAUUUCGACAAUGAAUAAAGUAGUCAUAAGUAGCCUUAUUAGCGUCUCUUAUAACAAUAUAUAGAAAAUUUAUUAAAUUGCCAUUGAAAAAUAAAUAAAAAGAUCUUUCAACUAUUUCAA
rnacentral:misc_RNA from 1 species